rnacentral:rRNA from 1 species
UGGGGAAUAUUGCACAAUGGGGGAAACCCUGAUGCAGCGACGUCGCGUGAGCGAAGAAGGCCUUCGGGUCGUAAAGCUCUGUCCUAUGGGAAGAAAAGGACGGUACCAUAGAAGGAAGCCCCGGCUAACUACGUGCCAGCAGCCGCGGUAAUACGUAGGGGGCGAACGUUAUCCGGAAUGAUUGGGCGUAAAGGGUACGUAGGCGGCACUUUAAGUCAGGUGUGAAAGGCAUGGGCUCAACCCAUGUAAGCACUUGAAACUGGAGUGCUUGAGGGAAGGAGAGGAAAGUGGAAUUCCUAGUGUAGCGGUGAAAUGCGUAGAUAUUAGGAGGAAUACCGGUGGCGAAAGCGGCUCUCUGGUCUGUAACUGACGCUGAGGCUCGAAAGCGUGGGGAGCGAACAGG